rnacentral:tmRNA from 1 species
GGGGGCGUUUAUGGAUUCGACGGGGGUAGUUCGAGCAUGGGUUGCGGGUAGUGGGGACGCGUCCGCUUCAUCAACGCUAAAGCCAAUUAACUGGCAAACAACAAACAAACUACGCAGUAGCAGCUUAAUAACCUGCUCGCGUGCUCUCGCUCUGUAUCGCCCAUGUACCGGGAUGAGGGCCCAACUUUAGUGGGAUACGCUGUCUAGUCUCCGCCUGGGGCUAGCUGAAGAAGACAAUCAGGCUGACCUGUAGAAUAGCCGGUUACGGGGCGCUUCAGUAUCGCUUUCGAUGCUAGCAUUGCUUCGCAAUGCUUUCAGGUGACAUCAAAACCGUGACUACACCCGUAGAAGCACAUGUGCCGUUAUCUUCGGACAGGGGUUCGACUCCCCUCGCCUCCAUCU